UACUGGCUAAACAAUGUUUUAGUGAACAAAUAUGGCGGACUAUCUCGGAGUAAAAAUACAACUGAAUCAAAUCAAAGGUCCAAUUGGGAUGAUUAUGACUCGCCAAUGUAAGCUGAAUAUGGAGGUUCCCCGAAAAUAAUUUAAAAUUUAUCAAUAUACAUAUCUAUGUGUAUUCUCAUAUAUUUAUAAAAAUGCCCUGCGAUAGCAUCAAAAUUAAUCAUAUCAAUUUAAAAUACCCACCAUUUUGUAAGGCUUUGAAAAACUGCCAAAAAAUAUUGUCAAAAGUAUAAACAUAAGCAUCAAAUUGUUCAACAUGACACACUGAAUUCAAAUUACCCUUAACCAAAGACAAUUUCAUAUUUUCUUCAAAAUAAUAGGUAGGGUUUAUUCCACCGAAUUUCAACACGGCUUUUAAUAUUACUAUUUCUCAAUCUCUCGUUCGGAUUUUAUUAACGAAUCUAAAUUUAGUUUGCUGACUUGUUGACAAGCAUAGUAGUAGGCAGGUCUCAUAUUGACAUUCAUCUAAACAGUGUUAAGAAAAACGUCAAAAAAAAUAUUCAGAUACAACAAUUUUCUCUGAAAUUUAAAUAUAUAUAUUAACGGAGAACAAAUCAAGAAUUAUACAUACACACGGUAAUCAAGUGAUGGAUUCCGAAAUAAUUCACUAGUAAUUCACUACGACGAUCCGAGUUGGGACCGAAUUAAAAUUAAAAUCAUCUAGCUGGUAUCUUAUAAUUAAUAAAUUCUAACUAUAAAACCGGCUCGGCCCACCAUCAUUUCAGAUCUGCAACUAUAUCAGCUGAAAUGAAAAAUGGAAUAAAUUAAUAUAUUUACGGAUAGGGACUGUUAUGUAAUCGAUAUAAUCUUAUGACUCUGACAUUUUCCCUCGUGACAUACGACAAGAUUAUGGAAUCUUCAACUAUAAUUUCUUAGUUUGUUUUGAUCUCUUGAUCGCUAUAAAAGCAGGAGUUCAUUUUUGGUUUACGAUUUCUCAACCUGAUUAGUAGGGACGACGACGAUACCACCAGAUAUAUUACCCAAAUUUUCGUAUAAUCUUCUAUUUAUGGACGAAUUAUAUCUACCACAAAUGAAUGCUAAAAUUCUAAUAAGCAUAGUAGGCUGGGCUCAUAAUGACAUUCGUUUGAAUUGUAUUCAAGUGACUACGUAAAAAUAUCAAAAAUAUAAACACAAUAUAUAAAAAUUUAAAAAUUCACUGCGAAGUUCAAAUUUUUCCAUUUUUCCAUUGGGGUUCGUAUAUGUUAAGUAUCAAACCGUCCACAAGUAACUAUUGGACUAUGAACGACUAUAUAACAUGGACAUAACACCAAAAAUGCAUUGUCCCAGGAAUAGCCCACAGGAAUUAUGCAAAGGUUACAAAUAUAACAUAUAAAAACGAUAAAAAUGUAUUAUAGAAUGGUUUUAACAAAACAUACCUGGAAGAUUUAAGUGAAGAGAUUUAUUAUGAUCAAAAGAACACAUGAAUGCCACUGCAUAUAAUGUAAAGCGAUCUUUUGACAUGCAAUCCAAGCAAUCGACAAAUAUAUGCCAAAUUCCCAAAUAUUACUAUACAGUUUCACAUAUAUUAAGAAUUAAUAUUACGCAGUCCAGUAACAAUCGUGUCGAAAUUCCGACUACACCAUUAACACCGUGUUCUGAACAGGCUAUGUAAAAAGUAUUUUGUACAUGAAUGUUUUGAAUGCAUUUUACAAUUUAACAUCUUCAAACUACCAGCUUUAAGUUUGUAGCCCAAGUAUCUUAGUUUUCUGGAUUAUCAUCCUGACACACAAUCUAAAAAAAUACUGAUCUAAUGAGA